CCUACGGGGGGCUGCAGUGGGGAAUAUUGCACAAUGGGCGCAAGCCUGAUGCAGCCAUGCCGCGUGUGUGAAGAAGGCCUUCGGGUUGUAAAGCACUUUCAGCGGGGAGGAAGGCGGUGAGGUUAAUAACCUCAUCGAUUGACGUUACCCGCAGAAGAAGCACCGGCUAACUCCGUGCCAGCAGCCGCGGUAAUACGGAGGGUGCAAGCGUUAAUCGGAAUUACUGGGCGUCAAGCGCACGCAGGCGGUCUGUCAAGUCGGAUGUGAAAUCCCCGGGCUCAACCUGGGAACUGCAUUCGAAACUGGCAGGCUAGAGUCUUGUAGAGGGGGGUAGAAUUCCAGGUGUAGCGGUGAAAUGCGUAGAGAUCUGGAGGAAUACCGGUGGCGAAGGCGGCCCCCUGGACAAAGACUGACGCUCAGGUGCGAAAGCGUGGGGAGCAAACAGGAUUAGAUACCCUAGUAGUC
rnacentral:rRNA from 1 species